GGGGAAUUAGGGUUCGAUUCCGGAGAGGGAGCCUGAGAAACGGCUACCACAUCUAAGGAAGGCAGCAGGCGCGCAAAUUACCCAAUCCUAAUACAGGGAGGUAGUGACAAGAAAUAACAAUACAGGACUUUUUGGUUUUGUAAUUGGAAUGAGUUAAGUAUAAACCCCUUUACAAGUAUCAAUUGGAGGGCAAGUCUGGUGCCAGCAGCCGCGGUAAUUCCAGCUCCAAUAGCGUAUAUUAAAGUUGUUGCAGUUAAAAAGCUCGUAGUUGGAUUUCUGUUAAUAAUUUAUAUAAAAUAUUUUGAAUAUUUAUAUAACAUUAACAUAAUUCAUAUUACUAUAUUUUUUAGUAUAUGAAAUUUUACUUUGAGAAAAUUAGAGUGCUUAAAGCAGGCAUAUGCCUUGAAUACUCCAGCAUGGAAUAAUAUUAAAGAUUUUUAUCUUUCUUAUUGGUUCUAAGAUAAGAAUAAUGAUUAAU
rnacentral:rRNA from 1 species